rnacentral:rRNA from 1 species
AUUGAACGCUGGCGGCAGGCCUAACACAUGCAAGUCGAGCGAGCGGCGGACGGGGGAGUAAUGUCUGGGAAACUGCCCGAUGGAGGGGGAUAACUCCAGGAAACGGUAGCUAAUACCGCGUACCACAAGAUGUGUCCAGAGGGGAUUAGCGAGUAGGUGGGGUAAUGGCUCACCUAGGCGACGAUCCCUAGCUGGUCUGAGAGGAUGACCAGCCACACUGGAACUGAGACACGGUCCAGACUCCUACGGGAGGCAGCAGUGGGGAAUAUUGCACAAUGGGCGCAAGCCUGAUGCAGCCAUGCCGCGUGUGUGAAGAAGGCCUUCGGGUUGUAAAGCACUUUCAGCGGGGAGGCGUUACCCGCAGAAGAAGCACCGGCUAACUCCGUGCCAGCAGCCGCGGUAAUUC